rnacentral:lncRNA from 1 species
AGUCAAUGCUAGAAAUGGACGUUUAGUUAUUGAAUCCCGCUAACGAGGGGAGCCAACAAGAGAGGGAUGUCGGCAUCGGGUGUGCGGUUCCAAGAACUGAUUGGCUGUGGAGAUUAGAAGUUAGGUGAAAAUUCUCUUAAACUCGGGCAAACGAAUUGAUGAUUUUUCCCCUGGUCGGUGUUAGAGACACAGUAAAUGCUUAACCAUCUCGCUAGACAGCUCAACUGAAGUGGCAUUAACUUCCCGGGAAAGUGUGUAGAAAGGCAUUUUUAAAUACUGUAAACUCGAACGUAAAUAUCUUUUAAUGUGGAACUGUUACUACAUUUAACACUGAACAUCUUUUCAACUUUUACAUAGUUCAAGGGUGACACGAUUCAGUUCGUUAUUUCCGUAAUUGGAACGUGUAAUGUUUUUUGGCCCAAGUUGCGUUAUGUGAUUUUGUUUUCUUCUAUAACGACUCUACAGUAAUGGGGUAGAAUGGAAUAUUGUGGGGAAAACAUUUACUGGCUCUUGGAGAACUCUCAAAACCAAUUAGGUUCUUUAAUUCCUCUUUAAAAAAAUAUUUCUCGCCUGGCGCUGUGGCUCACCCCUGUAAUCCCAGCACCUUGGGAGGCCGAGGCGGGCGGAUCACCUGAGGCCAGGAUUUGGAGACCAGCCUGGCCAACAUGGUGAAACCCCGUCUCUAUUAAAAAUACAAAAAAUUAGCUGGGCGUGGUGGCGCUCGCCUAUAAUCCCAGCUACUCCGGAGGCUGAGGCAGGAGAAUCGCUUGAACCCGAGAGGCGGAGUUUGCACUGAGAUCACGCCACUGCACUCCAGCCUGGGCGACAGAGCAAGAUUCCAUCUCAAAAAAAAAAAAAAAAUUAUCCAUACUUUGGAACCUGGAAGCAGCGUGACGAUCACUUUCAUUCUUGUAAUCAUCUGAGUUUGCCUUUGUCCUAGAAAAUUGAGUUCGGAAUCUCCAGACUCCAUACAUAUCUCUUGAUUUCCAGGGGAGAAGGGUUUUAAAUGUUCUUACAAAAUGUCUCUUGUUGCCUGAAUUCCAAACGUUUUGAAAUGUUAGGGCCGGGCGCGGUGGCUCACGCCUGCAAUCCUCUAGCACUUUGGGAGGCCGAGGCGGGCGGAUUGCCUGAACUCAAGAGUUCGAGUCCAGCCUGGCCAACAUAGCGAAACUCCGUCUCUGCUAAAAAUACAAAAAAUUAGCCGGCGUGGUGGCGCCUGUAGUCUCAGCUACUCGGGAGGCUGAGGCAAGAGAAUCGCUUGAACCCGGGAGGCCGAGAUCGCGCCAUUGCACUCCAGCCUGGGCAACAAAAGCAAAAACGCCGUCUCAAAUAAAUAAAUGAAAUAAACUUAGUAAACUAUUUUUAAAUAAUGUUAAAAUUAACGGUGUACGUAGUAGAACUGUGAGAGAUCUCAUCUUGGAAAUAGAGUGAUAUACUUGAAGGCAAGAGAUUGGGUCAGGUACUAUUAACACGUUUUACACAUGAACAAACCGACACUAAGAGGAACCUUUGCAACGGAAAGCGGCCUCGGGCAGGCGCCUUUUGAGCAGAGGAGUAAAACCGGUAAGUCAGCAGUGGAACCCGCCUCCCCGGAAAUCCUUGGAGGGGGCGGGGCCCUGGGGAGCGCGCUCUUCCCAGCGGCAGCUGGGGAGGCGCAUGCGUACUUGCGUCAUCGUUGGGUAGCAGCGGGGAGGCGUGGGAGGAUCUGAGGCCUGCGGUGGGCCUUGGUCCCUUCUCUCCCCGCCCCGAAGCCGCCUGCUCAACCUGAGGGCCACCGGCCUCUAUCCGUCGGUGCCGAUGCUCCUUGCUUCCCAGCCAGAGCGUCUCAUCUCUGGGCCCGGAGCCCCAGGCUCGUUCUCCUCAGCCCCUGCCGGCGGCGGCGCUCUUGCAGCCAUUCCUGUGAGGUCGUUUUUCGGAGCAGCCGGGCCGGCCGAGGAUCUCUUCCUGAACCAGUGACAGUGGUUCUCAAACAUUUUGGUCUGAGGACCCCUUUAUGGCCUUAAAAAUGAUCGAAGAGCUUUUAUUUAUGAAGGUAAUACCUGCUAAUACUUGUUGUAAUCUAUUAACAUUGAGAAAUGUAAAAAUUUUUAUUAAUUCACUUAAAAUAUCAAUAAACCCAUUAUUUGCUAAUAUAAAUUGCACUUUUUAAUGAAAAAUAACUUUAGUUUCUACUGUGUGCUUCUGCAUUUUGAAAAUAUGUCUAGGAUACGGUAUGUAUUUAGGAGAUAUUUUCUAAAUAAAUGCAUAUUCAUUUUUUAAAAUGGGACAAAUGUAGCAUAGACAUAUUUUUGCUAACAAUAUCCAUAUAGUUGCAAAUUUCACUUUUAGAAUUUGCUUUCAAAAACAGGUUGUUUAUUCUUCUUUGUUAUGCCUUAGUUAGUAAAUCAUAUAUUAUAAAACUUCUUCAAUGCAAUUGGUCUUUGGUCAGCCAUUGACAUAGGAAGAGUUAGAAAGAGUCCAGGGCUCCUUGGUACUGGCUGUGACUGGAUAAGUAGGUUGUGGCUUAGUUUGUGUUUAGGUGUCAUAACUAGGCUAGGUUUGGGUCCCAGAAAGUGCUAGCCUUACUGUAGGAGAGGAAGUGGUAUUGCUGGGUGUGUCCUCAGGUCAGGAAGUGGGACGAGUGCAGUAUGGAAGCCCAGGGGGGUCCUUGUGACUGGAGGAAAGGUGAGGUUUCCAGUAAAGGAUUCAGAAUUCGGGCAUGGUGCAGCAUGCCUAUAGCCCCAGCUACUCAGGAGGCUGAAGUGGGAGGAUCACUUGAGACCAGGAGUUCAAGGUUGCAGUGAGCUGUCAUUGCGCCACUGCACCCCAGCCUGGGUGACAGAGUGAGACCUGUCUCAAAAAUAAAUACAUAAAAAUAAUAAUUAAAAAAAAAGGAUUCAGAAUUCUAGAAUACAUAUUAUCUUUCUAUCAUGCAGAUCUGUUCUUAGGAUUGUAUUUUCCAAAUCAUGAAUAAAAUAAUUUCCAAAAUACUUAUUGGGAAAUUAUAUAUAUGUACUGUAUUACUUGGAAUAAAAAUCAAAUAAAAGUCAAACUUCUUAAUGUGGCUGUAAAGCCUUGAUUAUUUAAACCUUGCCUAUUUUUCAGUUUAAUCUUUCAGCCACACUGGCCCUUGUGUUAAUCCUAAAACAUGCCAUGCUUUUUCCUACAUUAAAGCUUAGGGUUUUUGAUAUUUCUACUGCCUGGAUUUCUCUGUUCUCACUCUUCCUCUUGAUCACCAUGACUUAUUUUUCAAGUGUUGGCUUAAAUGUCCGUCUCACAGAUAGCCCUUAUCUAAAUAACAGCUUUCCCUCUGGUUCCUAGAUAAAUUAGGACCUGUUUUUUUCUAUAACUUUCUUAAAGUAUCCUAUUAUUUUCCCUGAUAAAACCUUGUUGGACUGUUUGUCAGUAUAUUUAUUUGCCUGUUUGUUUGGUGUCAGUUUCUCUUUUUUUCCUGUGUGUUUUGUUUGUUUGUUUUUUUGAGACGCAGUUUCACUCUGUCACCAGGCUGGAGUGCAAUGGUGCAAUCUCGGCUCACCACAACCUCCACCUCCCAGGUUCAAGCAAUUCUUCUGCCUCAGCCUCCCGAGUAGCUGGGAUUACAGGCAUGUGCCACCAUCCUGGCUAAUUUUGUAUUUUUAGUAGAGACAGGGUUUUUCCAUGUUGGUCAGGCUGGUCGCAAACUCCCGACCUCAGGUGAUCCGCCUGUCUUGGCCUCCCAAGGUGCUGAGAUUACAGGCGUGAACCACCGCACCCGGCCUGUUUGUUUGUUUUCUUAUUAGACUAUAAACUAUAUGAGAUCAGACCAUGUCUCUUUUGUUUAUCACUCUGGCCUACCUGCUAACACAGUGCUUACACAUAAUAGUAGGUGCUCAAGAAAUACAGUGUUUGAUGGAUGAACGUAAAAUUGUAAGAGCCUGAACUAGUGUAAUAUCGAAAAUAGGGAGGAAGACAUGAAUUAGGAAAGCCUUUGAAAAAUUAGCAUGUUCUGUGAUAAAGCUACAUCUAGGCAAUAUUUUUUGAUACUUUUAAAAAAAAAACUGUAAUAGCUACCCAAUAUUUAGGAAUGAUACACAUCACACAUCUCAGUGAGGUAUGUAGCCUUUUGUACUGGUGAAGAGAGCCAGGUGAAGUCUAACUCUAAGGAUCUAAACACUCCAUUCUAGUAGAGAGCCUGGAGAAGUGCUCUUGCAUAAGCUCAUCCAUGUAAGACCAUCCAUAACUUAGUGAAAUAAUUUUCAUUGCUGUUUAGUUGCAAAAAUCACUCACUGUUUUGCCUCCAUAAGAUUAUCGGUUUUAGUGUUUAAUCGUUCACAGCCUUGUCAAAACCAAAAUGGCUAGGGAGAGAACUAUUUCCCUACAUUAAAACUUCGAGCAAUGCUCUUCAUAGAUUUUGUUUUGAAUUGUUUAGGCCCAUCUCAGAGUUCAAGACACUUAGUCUCUUCUAAGAGAAAUCAUGGUCACAACAAACAGAGAUUAAAUAAAGAGCAAGAAAUUAGAAGAAACUCAAACCAUUCACUUAGAUUAUUUGUUAGAUUUUGGCCUUAAAAAGAGACAAAGUUGCUUGAAACAAGUGAUUAAACUGACAUUUUUAGAUUAUUAUUUUAUUCAUACCUUUAUUGUGAAUAAAUUGGCCACAUGAUAACAUUUUAUAAUGUUAAAUAAAUAUGAUAUAUAUAAAUCUGUAUACCACAACAAUUAAAUUGGAGGGCGAUUUGCCAUUUAAAUAAUUUAUCAUAGGAUUUUUAUAAGAUCAAGCGCUUAGUGCAUAUCAAAGAGACAGAAAGUUUUCAUUGCAGUUCUGCACGUUCACUGAGUACCUUUUAUGUACCAGUUGCAUUGUUCUAGAAUCUUAUCUAUCAUGUAAAGCUAGGUACACCUGAAAUAGUUUAGUUAUGGUGGCAAAGUUAGACUGCAGUUAUUGGCUGGGAAUUUUUUGUAUAUCUAUGUACAUCUUCCAUAAGAGGGCAGCAAAGGACCAGCAUGAUUUUUUCCUUAUCAUGAAGUCAUAGCAGAGAUUGCCUCAUAUUGCAAACUUAAUAGAAAUCUUCUCAGAGUAAGGGCAAACAGAGGGCAUGGUUACAAGUUUACUUACUGUCUAGCCUGUCUUUUAUAUGGUCUGAUAUGGCUUUUUAGUACAUAGAUUAUCUCACAUCACAGUGAUAGCCUAGUGAUUAAAUGUUGAUCCUGGGGUCAGUUGUCAGGCUUUAAAUCCUGGAACCAUAACUUAACUAGCUUCGUGGUCUAGAAAGACUACUCAGUCUUUCUGAGCCUCAGUUUCUUCCUCAAUUUUUUAUAAAAAGGAGGGCAAGGGAUAGUAACAAUGCCACUUCACAUGGUUUUAAUAAACAAAAUAAAAUUUGUGUCCUGAAGAGGCUAAGAACAGUUAAAAGGUGGAGCUAGAAAAACCACCCUAUACUAGCCUUAGGUGUAUUGUAUUUAUUUAAGUUAAACUCUUAUUAAAAAGAGUCUCAUAAAGGAAAAUAUAGGUCAUUACUUUCUGUAACUACUUAGUAUUUUUAGUUAACUAACAUAUAUAUCUAUGUACUGACCAAUUAUUUGCUCGUACAAUUUAUCAAACCAAUUAAAUAUACACUGUUAAAUUUAUUUCCCUGUCCCCCGAGACAGAUCCUGGCUACGUUGCCCAGGCUGGAGUGCAGUGGCGCGAUUUUGGCUCACUGCAACCUCUGCCUCCCAGGUUCAGGCAAUUCUCCUGCCUCAGCCUCCUGAGUAGCUGGGAUUACAGAGGCCUGCCACCAUGCCUGGCUAAUUUUUGUAUUUUUAGUAGAGAUGGGAUUUCACCAUGUUGGCCAGGGUGGUCUCAAACUCCUGACCUCAGGUGAUCCAGCCGCCUCGGCCUCCCAGAGUGUUGGGAUUACAAGCAUGAGCCAGCACGCCUGGCCUGAAAAUACAUUUUGAUGAACAAAAAAUUUUUAAUUUUUUUUUUUUUUUUUUUCCUGAGACAGAGCUUUGCUCUGUCACCCAGGCUGGAGUGCAAUGGCGUGAUCUUGCCUCACUGCAACCUAUGCCUCCUGGGUUCAAGCAAUUCUCCUGCCUCAGCCUCCCGAGUAGCUAGGAUUACAGGCAUGGGCCACCAUGCCCGGCUAAUUUUUUGUAUUUUUAGUAGAGACGGGAUUUCACCAUGUUUGCCAGGCUGGUCUCAAACUCCUGACCUUGUGAUCCGCCCCCGUGGCCUCCCAAAGUGCUGAGAUUGCGGGCGUGAGCCACCACUCCCAGCCAAAAAUUUUUUAAUUUUAAAAGUCAAUGUAUAUCAUUUGUAUUUUAUAGUUAGUGCUUUUUUUGUAUUGUUUAAAUUUUUAAAAUUCUUCCAUUAAUCUAAAAUAUUUUCAUGUGUGCUUUCUACUAAGAGAAUUUAAGUUUUGUUUUUGACAUUAUAGUUUUUAAUACAUUUGGAUUUGGAUCUUAUAUCUUGUAUGAUACAGAACUCUAAUUUUCGCCUUUAACUACAUGCAUAAUCAUUUUUUCCACCUCCACUUAUUGAAUAGUUCCUAAUUUUCCCAUCAAUAUCAUGUGUUUCUUCUGGCAUAGCCAAAGUCCCAUAAAUGUGUGGGUCUGUUGUAGUUUCCUAUUUAAUUCAGUUAAUUUGUCCAAUUUGUUUUAUUAUGCCUUAAUUACCACAGCUUCACAGUAAGUCUUUAUGUCUGAUAGGGCAGCUUCCUCUAGUGUCUUCAGAAAUUUCCUGACUUUAAAAAAAAUCCUUAUUGUUCAUGCUUUUUUAAAGAAUUAGCUUUACAUGAUGCAAGAAAAAGAUCUGUUGGAAUUUUGAUUGUAAUUUUGUUAAAUCUAUAGGUCAACUAAUUACAAUAUUGAAUCUUCUUAUGCACAAACAUGGUAUAUUUCUCCAUUUAUUCAGGUCUUUAUUUAAUGUCUCCUAAUGUCUUUUUGUAGUUUUUACUUAGAGAUCUUACAUAUUUGUUAUUAUAUUUACUCCUAGGUACUUGGUAUUCUCUAAGAUUAUUGAAAAUGCUGUCUUCUUUUUAAUUACAUUUUCAGGUAUUUGUCAUUGGUAUAAAGAAAUGUAUUUGACAAUAAUCUUAUAUUCACCUUAAAUUCUCUUAUUUCUAAUAAAUUGUACUUUUUUUGGUUUUCUACAAAAAUGAUCAUAUCUAAAAAUAAAGUUAGAUUUGUUUAUUCUUCUGCAUCAUUUUGAAUUCAGUUUAUUAUUUCAUGUGCUAUUAGAACCUUUAAUUUAGUAUUAUUUAUUUUUUGAUUUGUAAAUCGGAAUGCUUUUAUUAUCUUUUCAUUUAGGAUGAUGUUUACUGUAGGUUACUUAGAUACGCUCUAUGGAAAUCUCUUUUAUUUUUUCUAAGACCUUUUAUUAUGAAUUUAAUGUUGAAUUUUAUCAAAUGCUUUCUCUGCAUUUAUUAGAAUAAUUAUGAUUUUUCUCUAUCUGUUAUUAUAAUGGGUCAGAUUUAUAGAUUUUUCUCAUACUAAGCCUAUCCUUGUAUUCCUUGGAUAAAUCUAACUUGGUAAUGUUUACUUUUUUCAUAACUUUUAGCUAUUAAGUAGAUACCAAAUUUUCUUUCAAGGUCAAGUUUGAUAGUUAUAAAAAACUAGUGAUACUAAGUCAUAGAAAAUAUACUUUAAAAAACUAGUGAUACUAAGUCAUAGAAAAUAUACUUUAUUUUAUAAAAAGACUUUAACUGUAAAAAGUAAAAAAAAAAAAAAAAAAAAAAAAAAAAAAAAAAAAAACCUGGCCGGGUGCGCUGGCUCACCCCUGUAAUCCCAGCACUUUGGGAGGCCGAGGCAGGCAGAUCACGAGGUCAGGGGAUCGAGACCAUCCUGGCUAACACGGCGAAACCCCGUCUUUACUAAAAAUACAAAAAAUCAGCCGGGCGUGGUGGUGGGCGCCCGUAUUCCCAGCUACUCGGGAGGCUGAGGCAGGGGAAUGGCGUGAACCCUGGGGGGGCGGAGCUUGCAGUGAGCCAAGAUUGCGCCACUGCACUCCAGCCUGGGAGACAGAGCAAGACUCUGCCUCAAAAAAAAAAAAAAAAAAAACCCCUAGAAUUUUAAUUACUGCCUUUACUUUUAAUUCAGUGGUUUUUAGUAUAUUCACAGAGUUGUGUAACAAUCACCAUGAUCAAUUUUAGCAUAUUUUUAUUACUUCAAAAAGCAACUCUGGACUCAUGAGCAGUCAUUCACUCCCCAUCUGCUCCCAACCCCUUUGUUCCCAUCCGCCCACCCAGCCCUAGGCAGCCACUAAUCUACUUUCUGUCUCUACAGAUUUGCCUGUUCUGGACCUUUCAUAUAAAUGCAAUCAGGCAAAAGAAAGGAGAUUUCAGUGCUCAGUGUUGCCAGGUAUCUCUGCCUCCAGUUUUGCACCUUCCUGGAAAGCUCAUUUUGUUCAGAUUGUCUGCCUGCCUCUAUCUAUCCUGCCUUCAGUGGAUGGCAGAGAUUUCAUCUCUUUUGUUUGCACAGCCUUGAAAGGUGCUUGAUACAGAGAUGCUUGGUAAAUACUUGCAGAAUAAAUUAUAAAAGUAACACAUACUCAUAAAAAUUUUAAAGUAAAAAUAUGUAUAGUAAUAAACACUUGGUGCUUAUUACAUAUCAUCCAGUGGGAUAAAUGCUUGUAAGUAUAGUCAGCCUUCUGUUUCCCUGGGUUCCAGAUUUGUGGAUUCAACCAACUGUGGCUCUAAAAUAUCUGGGGGGAAAAUGGCAUCUGUACUGAACAUGUACAUACUUCUUUUCUUGUCAUUCCUUAAACAAUACAGUAUAACUAUUUACAUAGCAUUUAUACUGUAUUAGGUAUUAUAAGUAAUCUAGAGAUUAUUUAAAAUAUACUGGAGGAUGUGCAUAGGUUAUAUGCACAUACUAUGCCAUUUUAUAUCAGAGAUUUGAGCAUCCAAGGAUUUGGGUAUCUGCAAAUUUUGGUAUUCUUGGGAGGUCCUGGAACCAAUCUCUUACAGAUACCAAAGGAUGGCUGUAUUCUCCAUUCCUUUUCACCAGCUGAGAUCGUACUGUUAUCUGCACUUAACAGAUUAAGAAAUAGGUGUGAUGAGUAAUUUGUUUAAAUUCUGUGGUUGAUUGUGUUACUUUUCGACUGUAUUCUGUGCUCUUCCCUACAGGAGGAUUAUUCAUUCCUGUUUACUUGAAUUCAGGCAACAUCAUGUAACUUGAUUUAAGGAACCGAUACAUGAGUGGAAAUUCUGUGUGGCAUUUCUGAGCAGAAGUUUUAUGAGGCAGCACAUGCUCACUGUGUUACCUGUUCCUUCUGCCAUGAGACUGGCAGAUGGACAUUCUCUAUCAGCCAGGAUAUCAGAAUGAAGAAAUGUAGAACAUAGACCAAAACACCAAUGAGAAAUAAGCGUUUGUUGUUUUAGGGAAAGUGUGUUACCACAGCAUAAUUUAACCUAUCCCAAGUGAAUACAUAUUCAUGGAGUUAAUAUCUAUACCUGAAAAUUGAAACUCAGGUUGUCUACAUCUAACUAUGCCUCUGUCUUUUCCAAAGGUAUAAAGUAGGAGAAACUUCCCCAUGAUCCUACUCUUCCAGUGUUAACUACAGUUAAAAUUUAGUGUAAAAUUGUUUAAUACUUUUUCCUAUGUGUAUGUCAAUGUUCAUUUUUUUAAAACUGGGACCACUUUAUAUGACACAUACUAUUUUAGAGCUUCCUUUUCCUACUUAGUAAUAUAAAAUGGACCACUGUCACAGGUUAGGUUUUCCAUAAACAGACACUGAGUUUGGAAUAUAAGAUUAUUUUCAGGGAUCAUCACCUUUAAAAGGAGAAGUGAAGAAGUAGGAUUGGGGAGAGCAAGAAGUAGAGCUGUGAUGCUGGCCCACAGAUGUCUCUCUGGGGUUCGUAUUGUUUGUCAGAGUUAUCCCAUAUCUUGUAGAAGUGGCCAUGCUUUUCAACCCACUCCUUACUCAGUGGCCUGAUGUGGGCUGCCCUGAGCAAGGUAGCUUUCUGCAGCUGAAGCAGACACUGAAGUUGCUGGCAGCUAACUCCAUCUUUGCAGCUGGGCAGCAAAUCCUUUCUUGAAGUGGGAUCUGGACAUUUAUAUUUGUCUAGCACAGUUCAUUUUUUGCAUCACUUGGAAACCCUUCUCUGUUUUCAUUCCUUUUGUUCUUAAUGUAUAUUCUCAAGCCUCUUGUCUACAAUCACUAGAUAAGUUUGUUGUAAACUGUCUUAACUAUAAAAUGAAGAAGGUAUAGGUAACUAUAAUAUGAAGAAUGCAUUGGAAGUGUAAAUUUUAAAGGAGUUUGCUGAUUAAUAACUCUUUUGUUGUAACUUUUGUUCAAUGAUGUUUGACAAAUACUUUUUUUUUUUUUAAUUUGAGGCAGAGUCUCACUCUGUUGCCCAAACUGGAAUGCAGUGGCAUGAUCUCAGCUCACUGCAACCUCCGCCUGUUGGGCUCAGAGAUCUUCCCGCCCCAGCCUCCCGAGGAGCUGGAACUACAGCCUUGUGCCACCACACCCAGCAAAUUUUUGUAUUUUAUUGCAGAGAUGGCAUUUCACCAUGUUGCCCAGGCUGGUCUUGAACUACUGGACUUAAGCAAUCCGCCCACCUGGGCCUCCCAAAGUGCUGAGAUUACAGGCAUGAGCCACCGCGCCUGGCUGACAAAUACUUUUUAAAAAUAUCCAAGUUUCUGGAUUUUAUUCACCUCUACAAAAAUGAUUUAAGUCCUGUAGAAACAUGUGCCCACAAAUGACACAGUAAUCUCCAGCAAUGUGUUCAACAGCACGUUGAGCAUAAUUGAGCAUAACAGACAUUUUUAAAUUUGUUGUCUCAAAUUCCAUUUAGAUUUGGCUAUUGAUGCAAAAUUAGGGAGGUCAUUUUUCACUAGAUUACUUUCAAUGCUGGAAUCCAUACUUAAAAAAAAAAAAAGAAGAAACUAGAUUUAGUAUAUCUUUCUUUGCCACUUCAGGCUUCCAAAGGAGAAAAAUUCAUGGAUAAGUCAUUAACUGUUACAAAUGCAUUAUGUCUUCAGUUGUGAUGGUUAUGAUAAAACAUGUUUAUUUUAUAUUUGUAAUUUAGUAAAAUUAGUUGAUUCAAGGAGCUCUAUCAUAAAUGGGAAGUAAUAAAAUGAUAAUAAUUAAAGCAGGUUAUUUUUCUCUGGUCAUUUUUGCAUUCUUUGUAGCUCAUGAAGUAGAUUUGUUGCUUUCAUCUGUGUCUGCCAUGUAUGCUAGGCAGGAAAGAAAGGAAGUAAGAAAGAUAUAGCCAUGUGGGGAAAGGAGACAGAGGGAAGGAGGAGGAAAGAGAAGGAAGGAAAUAAAAUCAACUCUUCGUUUUCUGCACUUUCCCUGAGCAAGUUCUUUUUUAUUUGUGUGUACAAUGAAUCUGCGUUUCUCCCUGCCACGCCCCCUCCCAACCCCUUUGGCUAAUAGAAAGCUCUGAAAAAAAUUUUGAAACUUAUAUCCAAAUGCAGUGGAUAUAAAUAAAGUUAUUUCCCCUGGCUUUUCAAAAAUAUGAGUGAGUGUUGGAUAUUAGAAAGCUACCUUACUUCUUUAGAUCGAGACCAUCCUGGCUAAUACGGU